rnacentral:lncRNA from 1 species
GGUAAGCAACCCACAUUCAAUAUUAAACAAAUAAGAAUUCCUUCACAGGCCGUCACAACCCUUUACAAUCAACCCCUAACAUAGCCCACCUUAUUUCGCCACGUGUGCAAUUAAUAACAUAAUAAGUACCGCCUUAUUUCGCCAUAUGUGCAUCAUAGUAUUUCCCACCUUAUUUCGCCACAUGCGCAACCCAUAUAUAAGCAUAUGAACAUAUCCCUCCUUAUUACGCCGCAUGUGCAAUAUAUUAAUAGCAACAGUGGCACGUCAAAGAUCUCGUGCAAACCCUUAACAAAAAAUUGCAUGAAAGAAACCACGUGCAUCACAGUAUCAACAAUCGCAUGGCUGAAACCUCGUGCACCACAAUAUCAACAGUAGCACGGCAGAAACCUCGUGCACCACAAUAUCAACAGUAGCGCGGCAGAAACCUCGUGCAUCACAAUAUCAACAGUAGCACGACAGAAAUCUUGUACAUCACAAUAUCAACAGUAGCAUGGCAGAAACCUUGUGCAUCCCAAUAUCAACAACCGCACGGUAGAAACCUUGUGCAUCACAAUAUCAACAACCGCACGGCUGAAACCUCCUGCACCAUAAUAUCAAUAGUAGCACAACAGAAACCUUGUGCAUCACAAUAUCAAGUACAACAGCAACAAUUAAAAUAUAUACAGGAACAAGCAAGAGAAUCAACUAAGGUAUUUUCAUUCAUCAAAAGGUGGUGCAACUAACUGAAAGGAAUAACUAUAACAGAGAAAUACUAAGCGCAACAAGGACAACUCAACUAGGAAUAAAUGAUAAGAAACAACGAUUCCAUAAUACUCAGUUCAACAACAAGAAAGUUACAUGAAUCAAAGAAUUACAAUUAAGGAAAUACCAACUCAACAUAGAAUAUCUAACUUCUUGCCAAUUAAGGCCAAUUAGUUACACGAAAGAAAGAAAUAACGCUUUCGAAAUAAAGACAAGCAGUUAGGAAUGAUAAUGUGACUGUAGAAGGGUAAAUGUCUAUAUUUAAUCAAGUAAAAGUCGAUUAGGCAACAAGAACAAACCAAAAACGGCAAAACAAUUCCAAGUAAGACAUGUAGAUGUGAAACUAAUAACAGUGAACUCAAUCGUAUCAAGAACUUCAUAUUCGGUGAUUACAAGGAUCAAAGAGCGUAAAAGGGACAAAUGGUUCACAAAUAAAUCCAAGCACGCACUCGUCACCUUGCGUACAAGGAAUACAAGCAAUAAAGAAGACUCAAAUCCUAAGGGGAAGUCCCCCACACAAGGUUAGGCAAGAUACUUACCUAGAACCGGCUAAAAUCAAC